GCUCAUUUGUCGAGGAACACUGCAGGAGCCACCACACCCGUGGGAAGUGUACGCCGUGUGACAGAGGGACCUUCACGGCACACGCCAACGGCCUGGAUUCCUGCAACGUGUGUGCCACCUGCUCUGAGAAUGAAGAAAUGGUGGCGGAGUGCACUUCCACCCGAGACCGGACAUGCCAGUGCCAAACGGGCCGUUUCUACCGCCCCCUGGGGGGCUUGGAAUUCUGCAGUCGGUGCAGCACGUGUCCUAGAGGGAGCGUGGUCCUCCAGAAAUGCAACGCUACAGCAGACACGGUGUGCGGCUUGGCCGGUCCAGGCGGGAGACACCGGUGGUGUGUGAUUGGAAGCUUUCUAACUUCCCUGGUUAUUAUGAUCGUCACCUAUAUUUAUGCUCGAAAACGAGAAGAAAAAGGAUGCUGGGGUGCGUGCCAUCGUCUCGCUGUCGGUAUGAAGUGUUGACGUGAGAACCACCGGACACAGCAAGCGCCAGCCUGGGCUGGGGGGCAGCUCCUGGGGGCCCCUGGUCCUCAUGAGCUGAGGCUCCUCGUAACCCGGGGCAUCGGCCUGGGGUGAUUACAAUGCUGUUGGCGGCUGAGUGCCCGCCUCUGAGGCUGCGGGACGGGCUUGGGUAGAUUACAGGGUCCCCAAGCCAUCUUGGUGACAGAGUCCCGGGUCAGCCUUAGAGGCAGACCUGGGCUCAGGGCAGGGUGUGUCCACAGGCUCGGUGGGAAGAGCAAGUGUGGGGCUAAGAGGUGGUGCUCUUGGUGCAGAGAGCCACAGGCCUCUUGGAAGGUCCCAGAAAUUGUGGAACCGGAUAAUGUGGGAAGUGGGGCACAGCCAGGCUUGCUACUGCUGCUUCCUGGCCUGGAGCCGGGUGCAGGUGCUGCCCCAGCAGCAGCAUCACAGGGUAUGAUCUCCUGCCACCGUUAACCACUCUACUGUCUGUCUUCACAGGAUACAGUGACGGAGGAGAGAGCAUGGUGAGUGCAGCCACGGCCACAGGCGGCGUGAAGUGUGGCCCUGUCGCAGCCUCCCCGUGAGGGGCAGCCAGCCCCCAAGUCGGGAGGUGGCCGGGCCGGCUCCAGGAGGCCCUGUCCUUGCCUGAGUAUUAGCUCAGUAAUUAUUCUGUGGCCAAGAGGGAGCCAAGGGCCCUGAGCUGGAGGAGCUUCAGGCUCUGGAGGAUUCGGUUCACAAUGGGGAAACUGAGGCACCAAAAGGGCCUCAAGGCAUCUUGCCCAAGGCCAGCCGAGCCGGCGGUCAGGGCAGAGCUGAGCCCAGAGUUGGUGCCACCUUAGGUUGCUCGGCCCCUGUCCUCCCCAGGGCUCGUGUGCUGAAUCACCCAUCUCCAACCAUGUUCUUCUUGGUUUAGUUGCCUGAGAACUCAGUCCCUGGCACACCACUAAAUGGGAACCCAGAUGCAGAAUCUCCAUUUCCCACGAUGGCAGACCAUAGCCUGUGU
rnacentral:lncRNA from 1 species